GGAUAACCUACCCUUAGGACCGGGAUAACCCUGGGAAACUGGGGAUAAUACUGGAUAGGCAAUUUUUCCUGUAAUGGUUUUUUGUUUAAAUGUUUUUUCGCCUAAGGAUGGGUCUGCGGCCGAUUAGGUAGUUGGUUAGGUAAUGGCUUACCAAGCCGUUGAUCGGUACGGGUUGUGAGAGCAAGAGCCCGGAGAUGGAACCUGAGACAAGGUUCCAGGCCCUACGGGGUGCAGCAGGCGCGAAACCUCCGCAAUGUGAGAAAUCGCGACGGGGGGAUCCCAAGUGCCAUUCUUAACGGGAUGGCUUUUCAUUAGUGUAAAGAGCUUUUGGAAUAAGAGCUGGGCAAGACCGGUGCCAGCCGCCGCGGUAACACCGGCAGCUCUAGUGGUAGCAAUUUUUAUUGGGCCUAAAGCGUCCGUAGCCGGUUUAAUAAGUCUCUGGUGAAAUCCUGCAGCUUAACUGUGGGAAUUGCUGGAGAUACUAUUAGACUUGAGACCGGGAGAGGUUAGAGGUACUCCCAGGGUAGAGGUGAAAUUCUGUAAUCCUGGGAGGACCGCCUGUUGCGAAGGCGUCUAGCUGGAACGGUUCUGACGGUGAGGGACGAAAGUUAGGGGCGCGAACCGGAUUAGAUACCCGGGUAGUCCUAACUGUAAACGAUGCGGACUUGGUGUUGGGGUGGCUUUGAGCUGCUCCAGUGCCGAAAGGGAAGCUGUUAAGUCCGCCGCCUGGGAAGUACGGUCGCAAGACUGAAACUUAA
rnacentral:rRNA from 1 species